rnacentral:lncRNA from 1 species
UAGAAUUUCUCUUUUGAGGUCAUUCUUCUGUCAAAAAAAACCCAAAGAGUGGACAGGCGUUAUUACUGUCCAGGCAAACAAUGAGCUUAGUUAAUUUCUCAUUAGUGUGGGCGAAAAUUCUACCUUAAAUAAACAAAGUCUCUGCCAUCCACCCCAGGCCUUAAUGAUCCCGCUCUCCUAAAGUUUGUAAAACAAACAGAUUAACUUGUACUUUACCCUCUGCCAAUAUUAGCACAGUCUGAAUGGUUAAACCUUUUUCCCACUUUAGUAAACCGUCAUUUCCCAAAUGUCCCAAUUGUAUUAGAAACAACUGCUCAUCCUAACUUAUCACCACAAUUCUACCAAUUGCUCCUUGGAGUUAAUGAUCUAUAUAGGUAGAUAACUAUAGUGUCUCUACAUACAAUAUUCUGUGGUUAAUUUACAAAGUGUGAAGUACAAAAGGUUGACUAUGGAAACGCACAUUUUAGGUUGAAAAUAGUUAAUAAAAAAAAAAACCAAACCUAUAAAACAUGGCUACUGUGGGCUGAAACUUGAAUUUUUCUUUGUCAAACCUCCACAACUCUAGCUAAGCGAAUAAGCCCCUUUGUUUCUCUGAUACUUUAUUCCAUCUACAUUUUAUCAAAUAUUGCAAAUGUCAUUUAAAACACACUACUGCAUUAAAAACCAUGUAACAUCCUCAAGAAUGCAAAAGUAGUGCAGGAGAUUAUAUGGCACAUUUCAGAGUUACACUUCGACAGAUUGUCGUUUAAAAAGGGAAUCUGAAAUACCUUUACAAUGCUGCAUCUGAAAAACAAGCACAUUUUACACUGUCCAUGCAUACACAAAAUAUUAAGGGGUUUUCAUUUCUAAAUAAAAUUUAAAAUAAACAUUACAACCUUUUCUAGUUAGAAUCCCUUAUAGAUAUCCCUGGUUCAAUAUAGAGGACUGGUUGUUCUAUGAAUAAAUAAUAAAUGCAUUUAAAAACUUGACAAGGCUGUUGAGAUAAGAAUUGCAAUCUCAGCUACAUUCAAAGCUGGAGUGCACGCACACAGUAACUGUACAUAAAAGGGUGAAUUAAAUAAUCAAUUAUACUGCAAUAUAAAAGGGACAAUUCAGGGUGGAUUUGCAACUAAAUUAAGUUUUAUUAAAGGGACACUAUAGGCACCCAGACUACUUCAGCUCACUGAAGUGGUCUGAGUGCAGUGUCACAGGUCCCUUAACUCUGAGCAGGCAAUUACAAUUGAAAAUAAAAUUAUUUUAUUUUAUAAACUGCAAUAAUUACCGGCUAGGGUUAACUCGUACUCUAGUGGCUGUCUGACUUCCGGGCUGUUAUUGUGACUUUUGGUCACCUAACUGAAGCUGGACAUUCUUACUCUAUGCAUGAGGACAUCCAGCAUCACCCAAGACCCCAUAGUAAAGCAUUUAAUAAUGCUUUCCUAUAAGGAAAUCCUAAUGCGAGCGCAUCCAUUGCCGUGCAUGCCCAUUAGGUCUCCCCCAGCCGGUGGGGGAGGAGCGGAGGCGGACCCGAGCUAGCACCGAGGGACAUCGGUGCUGGACCCAGGUAAGUGACACAAGAGGUUAUUAAAACCCUUUUGCACCGUCGAGGGGCCUUGACAGAGGUGGAAGCUAUAGUGCCAGGAACCAAAUGUGUUUACCUGGCACUAUAACUUCCCUUUAAGGCUUUGUACCGAUUUGUAUGCAGCAUAGAAAGAGCGCUGGUUAUUACAGCCAAACCCCAAUCUCCCAAUGUCCUCAACGGCAUUCUGGCAAAGACCGCAUAACACAGGAAGUUUGUCCUGCUUGGAAGCGGAGGGAAAGUGGGUAUUUCUUGAAAAUUUACAUUAAAUACAUCAUGUAUGUUUGUGAUACAUUAUGCAUUCAAUGUAUUUGGGGCCAAUUUAAACACCAUACAAAAAUAAAGUAGAGUUUCACUUUAAGACCCAAACUAACACCCAAUGCUGCAUUCCCCCAGCAUCUCUGCUUUUUUCCUCCCGAUAUUCUCCCAAGCGCCUUCUUCAUUCAGGACUUUCACUUAUCUCCCCUUUCCAGGCAUUAUCCUGUGUUAUUUUUCCAAACCACAAGUGGAAUUCUUACCUAUAAAAUGUUCUACCUUCCUACUAAUUAAAGACCAAAGAUAAAUACCAGAUCGCACACCUGCCCUUUGCCCUAAAAGGUCAGUGUAAGCUUCAUUCGCAGAUUACUACAAGACAGUUGGUGUUUAAAACACUAACCUGGGGGUGAUUAAUAAUGGCAGCUGUUAUAAGGUUGUCCACCAAGACUGUCAAUCAAGAAGCCAUAUAUAUAUUUUAUUCAUACUGUGCAUGAAUGAUAGGAAAAGUCCAUCCUUUCCAGUAUGUCCCCACGUGAAGCUUAGUCUAUAUCUCCCUUUAAUGUUUCUCAUACGUCAACUUGUCUGAGAUUCUGGUAUAUUGUACAGCUCUACUCAUCUUUUUGACCCUUUAUAAAAAAAUAAAAUAAAAAAAAUUUAGAAAACCGCACAUGUACAGGCAGGUAAUU